UAGCUCCAAGCAGGAAAGAAGAGGGA
rnacentral:piRNA from 1 species